rnacentral:lncRNA from 1 species
UAAAAAUUAAUUAAUAUAUAUUUUGAUUCUUUUAUUAGGAUAUUUAUUGUACUUAUCAUCGUGGGAGAGCACAGGAUUGUCAGAGAUUUUCGUCUCCCAUUAGAUGUCCUCAAGAAUCAUGCCUGGGGUUGUCAUGUCAUGAUAUAUGGGGGAUCCCACUUUAUUAAUGGUAUGGGCUAACAGGCCAUAGCUGAGAGUGUAGGAAAGGCUUGUUUUACUCAUGAUUACCCCCAUUUAUUGAUGAGAGGAUGUGACAGGGCCGCACAGAGGCUCUCUGGGGGGUCAAUAACCAAGGUGGAGCACCGAGCAGAUGCCAGGUAGGAGGCCGAGGUGGGGUCGGACAUGCACGGAAGGUGCAGGCACCUGCAUGCUAAAGUUGGGCAUGCGGGAUUAAUUUAUUUCCUCUUCUGCCACCUUUUCUGUUCUCUCCACCUCUUCCCCUCUUCCUUUUAUCCUAUUGUGAUGAUGCCUAUUGGGGGAUGCAUGGAAUGAGAAGGGGAGGCAAUUAAUGCCUCUGUCAGAUCCAAAUGACCCAAGGCAUAUGCUUGGUAGUUUGUGUGGUUUAGAGUCUUCCUCCCACGUCUUUGGCUAGUACCAAAAUACCCCCAACACAUGUGUAGGAUUAAAUCUGAUUUAAUCUUGUCUUCUAUUGCUUGUUUCUCAAAAUUAUUUUGAAAUCUGCACACAAAAUAUCUAAAAUCCAACAAUCUUAGCAUGAAUAUGACCUCGAGUAGAAGAUCUAGGAGAUCGAGCAGAGGCUUGAGUUGUACCAAGAAGGAGAUCGGAAGCAUGACGGCCCCCUUAGCUUUAGUGCACGUCCGCCUUUCUUCCAAAGAAUAACAAAAGAAUUGAUUCCACCUUGAUUCAAGAUGAUGCUAGUGGAACCUUUUGAUGGGUCCUCAAAUCCACUUGACCACCUUGAUGGCUAUUGGGAUCUCAUGAUGAAUCAAUGGGCCUCAAAUGUUCUCCUCUGUCUUGCAUUUCUGGCCACGCUCAAGAAGUCAGCACAAGCAUGGUACUCCGAUCUCCAGCUAAGGACCAUCCACUUCAUUGAGCAGCUUGGUAGGUAGUUCAUUAUGUAAUUUGGCAGCAACCACCUGUUGAAAAAUGUAGGCAAUUUCAUGGAUAUAUUUCAAAAAUUUAUCGAAUAAAUUACAGUGGAAGACAAUUAGAUUAAUCAUAUUAAUCUAACAUGCAUAUGAUCUAAUCAUCAAAUCAACCUACUCUAGGAUCUAUGAUAUGAUAUAUUGUAUAUAAAAUCUAAAAUAAUCAUAUGAUAAAAGCUGCAUGCAUGGAUGUAAGUAGUAGAUCAGAUCUACACCUAUUUGAGUUCAAAACUCGAUACCUAAGCACGGAUCGAUGAUUGCCACUACUGGGAGACACGGUGAAGAUGAUUCUUGUUGAUUGCUCAUAGCCGCAC